CUAUUGUUCGCCAAAUAACUACGAGUAAAAACUUAAAAUUUAAAAGACUUGACGGUACCUCAAAACAACCUAGAGGAGCCUGUCUAAUAACCGAUACUCCACGAUUAACCCAACCCACUCUAGCCUAACAGCCUAUAUACCGCCGUCGCCAGCCUACCUUGUGAAAGAAACAAAGUGAGCCAAACAGCCCCCACUAAUACGACAGGUCGAGGUGUAGCUAAUGAGUGGGUCAAAGAUGGGCUACAUUUUCUAACACAGAAAACACGAAUUAAUCCAUGAAAUAAGAAACUGAAGGCGGAUUUAGCAGUAUGCUGGGAACAACAUACCCAGCUGAAAUUAACGCAAUGAGGUGCGUACACACCGCCCGUCAUCCCUGUUAACACAACAA
rnacentral:rRNA from 1 species